rnacentral:rRNA from 1 species
GGAUGAACGUUGGCGGUGUGCCUAAUACAUGCAAGUCGAACGGAGUUAAUAGCAAUAUUGACUUAGUGGCGAACGGGUGAGUAACGCGUUGGUGAUCUGCCUCGAAGUGUGGAAUAACGUUCCGAAAGGAUCGCUAAUACCGCAUGUGCUCUCGAUUUUUAGAAACUUGAGAGUAAAGGAUUUAUUCGCUUCGAGAGGAGCCUGCGUCCCAUCAGCUGGUUGGUAGGGUAACGGCCUACCAAGGCUAUGACGGGUAGGGGACCUGAGAGGGUGGCCCCCCACAAUGGAACUGAAACACGGUCCAUACACCUACGGGUGGCAGCAGUAGGGAAUAUUAGAAAUGGACGAAAGUCUGAUCUAGCAACACCGCGUGUGCGAAGAAGGCCUUCGGGUCGUAAAGCACUUUUUGGAAGGAAUAGGAAGGAAUGUACUUCCAGAAUAAGUCUCGGCUAACUACGUGCCAGCAGCCGCGGUAACACGUAGGAGGCAAACGUUAUCCGGAUUUACUGGGCGUAAAGCGCGUGUAGGUGGUACUGUAAGUAGGGCGUGAAAGCUCCCGGCUCAACUGGGAGAGGCCGUUCUAAACUGCAGAACUAGAGGAUGGUAGAGGGAGGUGGAAUUCCAGGUGUAGCGGUGGAAUGCGCAGAUAUCUGGAGGAACACCAGUGGCGAAGGCGGCCUCCUGGACCAUUCCUGACACUCAGACGCGAAAGCUAGGGUAGCAAACG